AUUUGGCUGCCAUCAUCUCUGUAAUACCUUGUCGCUCCCGCUGAACUGUGAGUUCCUUGAGGACAGAGAAGGGACUCUGUAUCUCUUUCCCAUCUCUACAUCCUCAGGUCACAGAGCCUGGCACAACGUGGGAAUUUCUUCUCACCAGGACAGUGCAUGCUGCGGCACUCCAUGAUGGUACCUCAUCCCUGCCUCUGAUGCCCAGUGCCAAUCACCCUUCUGCCGGCACAGUUACAACCUCGACUGCGUAGUUGACACAAUGCAACCCUCCAAGUUCCAGAAUGAUGCUUCUUUUCUAGGAGCUCCCAGAGAGCCAAAGCCUUGAGUGUCCCACACAGAACAGAUUCCCUCUCCCCAGCCUGGCAUCCCUCUUGGUCAUCCCAGCACCAAGAGGACUGUCUGAGCACCAAUGUCUCAAGAAGACUUUUGAUGACAACAGUGGAAACCAUUUCUUCAGCUUCUCUUUACAUUGUUUCUUUCUCUAGAAUCUGCAUGCAGGAUUUUCCCUCUGGAUUAAAUGACCAAUCUCUGAGACAGACACCCAUUUUCUUCUCCCAACCUUCCUCCCCAUCAUUCAUGCACUGAUUGUGUUUCUUCCACCAAAGGCUUUAAGUAAGUUGACUUGUGAAAACUUCAUCCCAGAGUGUCUACCUUACUAGUCCUUUAUAACUGCCUAUUGCAGGCAUUUUUUUCAGGUCAAAUGUGGGAUGUCUGCUACAUACCAAAAAGGAAACUGGGACUCAGAAAGGUUAGGAAAUGUGCCUGAAAACAUAUAAUAGACAUAUAUUGGACCAAGAUUAUAUCUUGCUAUGAAACCUGUCCUAAGGGCAUCUACCUCUUUCAGCAGAGGUAAAUUCAACUGCUUUGCCCUGAAUAUGAGAGAAUAGCACAUUCACCUUCCAUUAAUUCAUGCAACAAUGACGAGACUCCUCUUAAAGCCAGAUUAUAUAAAAUAAAUAGCUAAAAAGAUUUCGGCCUCUCCUCUGUGCCUUGUGUUUCAUUGUACUAACAUUUCUUUUUUUCAUAUUAUUUAUCCUCAAAUGUGAGUCACAUUUAAAAAAAGGCCAGUUGCUUAAAUCUGUUCAGAGACAGGGCAAGCCCAUUUCUAUGUGUGUGCUAACCCAAGCUGUUGCAUCUGACUUUUCUAAAGUUUAUUUCAACCUUUUCUCCAAAGUUUGGGGUCAUUCUCUUCCUUCAGGAGAGCUGUAUUUUUCAUCAAGCCAGAGCCCACCCACCUCACCUCUCCAUCUCUGGGGGUUCUAACUGCUGCCAUGUUGUUCUACUAGCCUUCUGGUUGAGCCAAGCCCAGGCAUUUCCUUCUAACAAGGUUCUCUGGGCUUCCUCUCCCCAUUUAGUGAGCCCUUUCCAGACCAGUUCCCAUGGGAACAGUGGUCCACAUUGCCGAGACACCAGCUGAGGGGAAGGAAGCCUUCUGUGGCCAGAGUAUCAAGAUCUCUCCAUGAAAAAUCAUCAGGACACAGAGUGGGCUGAGGCUCAACAUUCUGAGCUCCCUCUGCCUUUUCCUAACCCCAUGGCUACCAAGCCUGCUACACAUUAAUAUCACCUAAAGGGAGUUGGAUUCUAUUAGUCAGAAGUGGGACCCAGGGAUUGGCAAUUUUUUGUGAUUUUUAUCACAAAAUUUUAGGUAAUUUAGGUAAUUCUAAUGUUUAGCCAAGUCUGGAAACCACUGUUACAACCAAUUAGCAAUCCUACCAAAAUAUCCUGCAACCUAAGAAAUUUCUGGUUUCAUUUAUCAAACAAGGCCUCCCACUGAUGAAAGUUAGGGCCAGGCAAAAUGAUCCCAUUGCAAAAUCCAAUGCCUUUGUCUUUUCGCGCAUUCACUUGCUCACAGCUGAUUAUCAAGGACCUAUCAUGAGUCAGAUGAUAUUUUUGGGUAACAGUUCAUCAAAGGACAAUAGUUCUUGGUGAGAAGACAUCUACAAGAGCCCUCUGUAUAGGUCCUGCUCACUCUGGACAAUGUAAACCUAGCUCUAAUGCUCCGUGUAGACACCCAAGUAUUGACAAGUGAGAGUACUCAGGGAAUUUGGAUUUUAGAUGUCACACGUGGAGUGGGGGAUAGGAGUAGAUGAAACAGUUGGUGAUCUCGUGGAGGUUCAUGGACGCUUAUAGUAUUAUAAAAGUAAAGGUAUAUAACCAUGCAUGGCGAUGAUGACGAUGUAUCAUGAACAGAAAAUUAUGACUAAUCCAAUUCUGGUCAACUAUGAUCUAUUAGGAAAAAACAAUCAUUAUUUUUCUAACAAUUAUGAAAGGUUCUGUUGGGAAUCAUUGGAUCCAGACUUUAGAAUGAGAACUAAGGGCAAUUUAUUCUAUGUCCUUGUAUAUUUUGCAUUACAAAGGCUAUGUGGUGAUAGUUCUAGAGUCACUUUCCCAAAAGUUCUUAAAAGCUAUUAGCAUCACAUUUUUUUUCAGUAGAAAAUAAGUUAGAAAAAAGUAGGAUGUCAAACAAAUGCAUUGUAUAAAAUUAGACAAUGCAGAAUGAAUAGAAUAACAGAAAAAGACCCUUAAUUCUAAUAUUUACUAUAGGCAUUGUUAAAAUGUUGCCGUAUGUAACUUCCUUUCUCUGUGUGAUUGUGUGUCUAUAUAAAGAUUCUAUGGCCUGUAUUUUUAAUUUAACACUCUAAGUAAUUUCCUCUAUCAUUAAAUAUUUUAAAAUAAUCUACAUCAACAAGUAUUUAAAUGUGUGUGCCAGUUAUGUAUCUGACACUAGGUUUG
rnacentral:lncRNA from 10 species